UGCCUUUCACUACGGAAUAGCUUUUGGAAACGAAAGGUAAUACCGUAUACGCCCUCCGGAGAAAGAUUUAUCGGUGAAAGAUCGGUCCGCGUUAGAUUAGCUAGUUGGUGAGGUAAGAGCUCACCAAGGCGACGAUCUAUAGCUGGUCUGAGAGGAUGAUCAGCCACACUGGAACUGAGACACGGUCCAGACUCCUACGGGAGGCAGCAGUGGGGAAUAUUGCACAAUGGGCGCAAGUGAUGCAGCCAUGCCGCGUGAAUGAUGAAGGCCUUAGGGUUGUAAAAUUCUUUCGCCAGGGAUGAUAAUGACAGUACCUGGUAAAGAAGCCCCGGCUAACUUCGUGCCAGCAGCCGCGGUAAUACGAAGGGGGCUAGCGUUGUUCGGAAUUACUGGGCGUAAAGCGCACGUAGGCGGAUUUUUAAGUCAGAUGUGAAAUCCCGAGGCUCAACCUCGGAACUGCAUUUGAAACUGGGAAUCUAGAGAUCAGGAGAGGUUAGUGGAAUACCGAGUGUAGAGGUGAAAUUCGUAGAUAUUCGGUGGAACACCAGUGGCGAAGGGACUAACUGGACUGAUACUGACGCUGAGGUGCGAAAGUGUGGGGAGCAAACAGGAUUAGAUACCCUGGUAGUCCACACCGUAAACGAUGAGUGCUAGUUGUCUGCAGGCAUGCCUGUAGG
rnacentral:rRNA from 1 species